UACGUAGGGGGCAGGCGUUGUCCGGAUUUAUUGGGCGUAAAGAGCGUGUAGGCGGCCAGAUAGGUCUGUUGUGAAAACUCGAGGCUCAACCUCGAGACGCCGACGGAAAUCAUCUGGCUAGAGUCCGGAAGAGGAGAGUGGAAUUCCUGGUGUAGCGGUGAAAUGCGCAGAUAUCAGGAAGAACACCCGUGGCUAAGGCGGCUCUCUAGUACGGUACUGACGCUGAGACGCGAAAGCGUGGGGAGCGAACAGG
rnacentral:rRNA from 1 species